CCUACGGGAGGCAGCAGUGGGGAAUAUUGCACAAUGGGGGAAACCCUGAUCCAGCGACGCCGCGUGAGUGAGGAAGGAUUUCGGUAUGUAAAGCUCUAUCAGCAGGGAAGAAAAUGACGGUACCUGUCUAAGAAGCCCCGGCUAACUACGUGCCAGCAGCCGCGGUAAUACGUCGGGGGCCAGCGUUAUCCGGAUUUACUGGGGUUAAAGGGAGUGUAGGCGGGAAAGCAAGUCAGAAGUGAAAACCCAGGGCUCAACCUUUGGACUGCUUUUGAAACUGUGUAGCUAGAGUGCAGGAGAGGGAAGCGGAAUUCCUAGGGUAGCGGUGAAAUGCGUAGAUAUUAGGAGGAACACCAGUGGCGAAGGCGGCUUACUGGCCUGUAACUGACGUUGAGGCUCGAAAGCGUGGGGAGCAAACAGGAUUAGAUACCCCAGUAGUC
rnacentral:rRNA from 1 species